rnacentral:rRNA from 1 species
CAGCCUGAUGCAGCCAUGCCGCGUGUGUGAAGAAGGCCUUCGGGUUGUAAAGCACUUUCAGUCAGGAGGAAAGGUUAGUAGUUAAUACCUGCUAGCUGUGACGUUACUGACAGAAGAAGCACCGGCUAACUCCG